rnacentral:lncRNA from 1 species
UUUUGUCAGCCCUAUAAAUUCUGGUUUAGUCAUGAGCCGUCAAAAUAUUCUGGCAGGCUUUAAAUCUUUGAAAAUGACUUAAUCGAGAAAUGAUUUUGUCUAAUUUAGAGAUCAGUUAAAUGCGUAUGGAUUCUGGCAUCAUGUCUCUUUGUGACGUCAGUAUGCUCUGGACUGAGUGAGCACUCUUUCUUCUGGCUCCAGCCAGCUUCUUCUUAUGAUGUUCUUGGUUCAGAUGUAACACCUGCUAUCAUCAUGAAAAAUAGAGGAGAAAUUAUUGGAUGAAAAUUUAAUGAAAAGGAAAACAACUGCUGGAGUAUGCGAGAGAAAAAAAUGGACUAAGAAAGCACAUACUCAUGAAGAGACACUUCAGAUUUUGAAGCGAAUUUCCAGUGGAACACUUAAUGAAGUCCUGGUCUGCACAGAGGGCAGGAUGCCACAAGUGCACUUCAGAGCACAUCUUCAGCUCUCAGAAAGGAAGACUAUUUCCUGUUUUGCUAAGUGAAGGAAACUGAGGCAGAGGGACAAAGUUGUAUUUCCAAAAUAUCAGUGAGGAAAACUCGAAAAGUUCCUUAGCUGCCAGCUACAGUAAAGAUUGCAGUAUCUGGAAGUUGUUCUGUUCUCUCACAUUAACCCUACUGAAGAAGUACCAAAAUGGGAAUCAAGCUCUGUACACAAAUCAAAAGGCUGAACUGAUACAGCCAGAGAAGUUCUAGAAGAAGCAAACAUUCCAGUGGCAAAAUGUGUGGUGCUGAUCCUGUUGGCUUUCCUAUAGAGACACUGAGAAGAAAAAACUCCUCUGGAAUCAGAGGAAGAGCUUAACUUCCAAGGGAAGUUUUUCAUUCUUCUGUGAUUACAAAGAAAGCCUAGGGAGAUCUGAGUAGCAAGGCUGAAGUUUGGUUCUUUAUAGUGCAAGUGAACGAUUUUAUGAUUUCCCAUUUCUAUAACAUUCCUUCUUUCUUUUCCUCUGAUAUCUG